rnacentral:rRNA from 1 species
AUUGAACGCUAGCGGGAUGCCUUAUACAUGCAAGUCGAACGGAGUGGCGAACGGGUGAGUAAUGUAUGGGAACGUGCCCAUUAGUGGGGGAUCCCUACGCGAAAGAGUAGCUAAUACCGCAUACUUUUGGCGCGGCCGAAAUCGGCUUAGCUAGUUGGUGGGGUAACGGCUCACCAAGGCGACGAUCCAUAGCUGGUUUGAGAGGACGACCAGCCACACUGGGACUGAGACACGGCCCAGAAUCCUACGGGAGGCAGCAGUGGGGAAUUUUGGGCAAUGGGGGAAACCCUGAUCCAGCCAUGCCGCGUGAGCGAUGAAGGCCUUCGGGUUGUAAAGCACUUUGGGCAGGGAAGCGGUACCUACAGAAGAAGCACCGGCUAACUACGUGCCAGCAGCCGCGGUAAUUC